rnacentral:rRNA from 1 species
GAUGAACGCUGGCGGCGUGCCUAAUACAUGCAGGUCGAGCGAACGGACGAGAAGCUUGCUUCUCUGAUGUUAGCGGCGGACGGGUGAGUAACACGUGGAUAACCUACCUAUAAGACUGGGAUAACUUCGGGAAACCGGAGCUAAUACCGGAUGAUAUUUUGAACCGCAUGGUUCAAAAGUGAAAGACGGUCUUGCUGUCACUUAUAGAUGGAUCCGCGCUGCAUUAGCUAGUUGGUAAGGUAACGGCUUACCAAGGCAACGAUGCAUAGCCGACCUGAGAGGGUGAUCGGCCACACUGGAACUGAGACACGGUCCAGACUCCUACGGGAGGCAGCAGUAGGGAAUCUUCCGCAAUGGGCGAAAGCCUGACGGAGCAACGCCGCGUGAGUGAUGAAGGUCUUCGGAUCGUAAAACUCUGUUAUUAGGGAAGAACAUAUGUGUAAGUAACUGUGCACAUCUUGACGGUACCUAAUCGGAAAGCCACGGCUAACUACGUG